rnacentral:lncRNA from 1 species
UUAACAGAUUCCAUUGAGCAAAGUGGAAACCCUUGGUCGUAAGCUGAAAAUAUAUUUGAUCUUUAUAAAUAUCAAGAUGUACAUAUUAUGUAUACUAUGUAUAAUUUCUUACAUAAUUUAUACACAAUGUUUUAUCAUAAUAUACAUGCAGGAGAAAACAUAUACCGCGAUUACUGACCAGGUAACCCGUGUCUAUGGCCGUUGUCAGAUAACUCACAUACCUAGUUGCCACUGUUCUGAUGAUGUAAGCAUAGAAUGAAACAAAGGUAACGAAGCAUUAAAAGUCUCAGAUGUUGUAACAAUUCUGUUAACAAGCCGUCAACAAGUUGUGUUCGCACUGCUUGUCCCAAGUUGUCAGCAAAGUUUGGAACAAGCUGUUAACAAUUUGUAACAACCGUGUUGAUACUAUCAGACUUGUUGCAAGGUUGGUUCCAACAAGUCUGAUACAGUCAUGAUAUAACAAUCUUGUUACAACCUUGUGUCGUCAACCUUGUAACAUUCUUGUUAUAUCAUGACUGUAUCAGACUUGUUAGAACAACCUUGUGACAAGUUGUUAACAGUUUGUUCCAAACUUGUUCCAACAACUGGGAACAAGCAGUGCGAACACAACUUGUCGACAGCUUGUGAACAGAUUUGUAACAACUUGUUUGCAGACCUGUAACAACUUGUGCGUUUUUACGCGUGUAGAAGAAUAGUAACUAGGCAUGUGAGUUAUCUAUGUUCUGCAUUGAAUAGCAACGAUGUGAACAACGUUAGCCAAAUUUGUUCAUUGGUUAAGCGGUCAUAAGCAGGCGUAGUUAUAGCUGACGUAUUCAACUCCAAAUUAUUUUUCUAACACAUUCACACAAUACAUGCUAAGCAUCAACAGUUCAACAAUUUCAACACACUAUCUUUCGUUUACAUGACCCACUUUGGUAAAUUAUAAAAGUCUUGUUUAAGGCUGGAUUACACUUUCUAAGUUUCUGUGAUCACAGUAGGAAUUUUGCAUGGGUAAAUUCUAAGUUUUGAAGGAUUUGUAAGAAAUGUUUGAGGAAACUGACUUAGUCUGUUGAACACUUAAUUCCCUCAAACAUUUCUUAUAAAUCCUACUGUGAAACUAUGAGUGUUCACUGGCUAUUCGGAUACCGAGCGUAGCAAAAACUCGCAUUAAAAUUUGAACCAGCUCAAUGUUGAUGACAGUGGACGCAAACUCCCAGCAACUUUGGCUGGACAUUACUGAUUACUGAAAGUUUGUUUAUAGCCAAUUCAUAACAUUAAGUAACUCACAUGCCUAGUUAUACUAUUGUUCUGGUUUACAGGAACAUAGAAUAAAACAAAGGUAACAAAGCUUUAGAGUUUUAUGUACAAGAGUUAUUCAUUCAUGUAGAUAAUUCUAAUACUUAAGCCCUGCAGGCAAACUAGGAAACAUUGUUGCGGAAACAUUUGUGAUUCUCGAUGUUUGCUCAAAUGUUUCCCUGUUUGCCCACCCGUGGAAACAUUGUUGCGGAAACAAAAUUUGCUUCCCGAGAAGCAUAAAUGUUUCCUAGUGAAUUCAGAAACAUUUGAUGUUUCCCUAUGUUUCUCACUAAUGUUUCCUAGUGUUUGCCCACCCUGGGAAACAUGGCGAAACAUUGGUAGGAAACAAUGUUUCCGCAACAAUGUUUCCGCAACAAUGUUUCCUAGUUUGCCCAGGGCUUUAGUUACCUUUGCUCUGAUUCUAUGUUUCUGUAAACUAGAACAAUAGUUAACUACACAGCUAAAAACACUCAGGUUGUUGCAAUAGUGAUGAAAACAGGAUUGAACAAUGCUUCGCUGCCCACAUUGUUCACAGUUGUCAACAACAUUGAACGAUAUUGUUACACCCGAUUCAGGCUCAACAAUAUUGUUCAAUGUUGUUGACAAGUGUGAACAAUGUGGGCAGCAAAACAUUGUUCAAUGCUGUUAAACAGCGGGCUCGGCGUUUUUAGUCGUGUAGGUAUGUGAGUGAUCUAAUGUUGUGAAUAAACAAACGCUAACCAAAUCUGUCUAUUGUCAAUGAUUGUAACCAAGCACUACACCGUUCAUUUCAAAUUCUGCACACAACCUGUUCUCCACACAUGUCACGCCUGCGCAGCAGUCUCAGCGGUCGGUACGACAAAAGAACGUUCCAUUUCCUCCUCAGUCUCCUCCAGACAGUCUGCGAACAACGCCGCUGCCAGGGGAAUUCUCUGGCCUGAAAUAAAAUGUUGUACCCCAUCAAUCCGAAGCUUUCAAAAGAUA